GACGAACGCUGGCGGCGUGCUUAACACAUGCAAGUCGAACGGAAAGGCCCUGCUUUUGUUGGGUGCUCGAGUGGCGAACGGGUGAGUAACACGUGAGUAACCUGCCCUUGACUUUGGGAUAACUUCAGGAAACUGGGGCUAAUACCGGAUAGGAGCUCCUGCUGCAUGGUGGGGGUUGGAAAGUUUCGGCGGUUGGGGAUGGACUGGCGGCUUAUCAGCUUGUUGGUGGGGUAGUGGCUUACCAAGGCUUUGACGGGUAGCCGGCCUGAGAGGGUGACCGGCCACAUUGGGACUGAGAUACGGCCCAGACUCCUACGGGAGGCAGCAGUGGGGAAUAUUGCACAAUGGGCGGAAGCCUGAUGCAGCAACGCCGCGUGCGGGAUGACGGCCUUCGGGUUGUAAACCGCUUUCGCCUGUGACGAAGCGUGAGUGACGGUAAUGGGUAAAGAAGCACCGGCUAACUACGUG
rnacentral:rRNA from 1 species